rnacentral:rRNA from 1 species
ACCGGAGUGAGAGAAUCCCUAGUGUUCCAGUUGUCACUGUCAAGUGCAUUGCUGGGUAGCUACAUUCUUUGUGGAUAACCGCUGAAAGCAUCUAAGCGGGAAGCCAAUCUCAAGAUUAGCUAUCUCCAUUAGACCCGUGGGAGAACACCACGUUGAUAGGUAGUCGGUGUAAGCCUGGUGACAGGCUAAGCCUAACUAUACUAAGUGUUGAUCGA